rnacentral:lncRNA from 1 species
UUUUUUUCUUUCUUUUUUUUAAUACAUAUUUUUCAUCCUAGAGAUUGACUUGCUAGCUAACAUAACGGCUAUUAUAAUGUUGCCCACGAAUUCCAGAACUGUGUGAAGCAGAUAGACAAUAAUUAGAAGUAGAUUCUUGAGUCCCGAAAAAGCUUUGAUUUAGCAAGGGAAACACAUCCUGAGAAGCCUCAUUCCUAUUGUCUCCAAGAAUUGGUAAUGCAUGAAAUGUCUACCUCUUAAUCAAGAAGGACGAACAGGUCUUGAUAAAGUGGACUUGUGAAAAGGCUGGACCUUGCCACUUUCAUCCUCAUUCCCUCACCAACUCCAAGUCUCUGAACCCACUUUUAAAAUGUUGAGCUUCAGAAAGGGGUGUGUGUGUGUGUGUGUGUGUGUGUGUGUGUGUGUGUGUGUAAAAUUUUAGUCUAUCCUUGGGUUCCAGGGAAAUUUUCCCCUCUUUGGGACUAUCUGAAACCUUGCUUUAAAUAAGGUGCUGGUCCUUUCAUCUUUGGUCAUGUUUUGAGAAUAAAGGUCCUGACCUAGCAUCUAAUUCCUCACACUGGAACCACGAUGACAAAAUAAGGAAGUGUCCUAUUUGGGGCAGUUAUUUUUCUACCACAAACACAGAGAAACAGAAAAAUAAAGCAGACAGGGGAGUGGAGUGGGGUGGAGUUGGGAGGGGGGGAUGAGAGAAAGAGAGAGAAAAAGAAUUUCCAGCAACACCAAGUUCCUUUUGAAGAGCAGCUAUACUUUUCUGCCCUUAAAUUCCAUGAGAAAACAUGCAAAUACCCCUUCACAUGAAUUAGCUCUGAAAAAAUCUCUGCUACUUGCAGUCAAAAAAAUAUUGACUAAAACACUAGCCAGAGAUAAUUUAUCUCAUGUUCACCCACUGGACUCCAGCUAUGACUCAAACAUUAUCCUCAGUAAACAUUAGACCUCUGAAUAUUCUGGUUUUCCUUAAGAACACCUCAUGCUCCAACAUUAGUUCACUAACUUUCUUUGCUGAAACAAAUAAGCAAACAAAACCUACCAAUGGAGAACUUAUUAUUACCUUUAUACAAUCUUCAAAAUUAUAGUUGUUUUUUAAGAGGUAACAUGAUCUUGUUGAGAUAUUACAUGCUAAAAUGUGAAUGCCCUAUAUCUUAAUCCUCUUAGACAUGAGAGAUAUUUCUCUUCAAGAUAAGCUCUAAUUUCCAGUUGUUGAGGUUAAUGUAGCAGGCUGACAAUGACAUUGUGAUUUCUUUCAAAUUUAAUUCAAUCCAACCGAUAUAUGAAAUUACUACCUUUGGAACCAUAUUUGGGUUCAACACUAAAGUCACUGAACUCCCCCCUUAUCUUAAUUUCCUCAGCCACAAAAUAAAGACAAAUAUCUACCUUUCAGAUUUGUAGGGGGAACUAAUAAAGCACAGAACAAAAUUACAGCUUUCAAGUCACAUCCAUGCUGGUUAUCACAAUUAAUGCAUUCAGGGAGGUUCUGGGUUUGCUUUAUAUUUGAAGUCAUCUCUUCUCCCUUCUAUUAAGGACAGUCCUCAAGGCAUCAGGAAAUCUCCUGACUUUUGGGUGGUAUCACAGCAUUAUAGGAAAAUGACAAGCUUGCACUAGGGAAUGACAAAUACUUGGCGUGAGAGCCACCAAUCCUGGCUUCCAUGUCUAUGGCAGACAUUGCUAACUGACCUCAUCACUCUUUCUCAUUGACUAGUGACAUAAUCCCAGAGUUUUCAAAUCAGUAGUCUGGGCAGUAACUCCUAACUAAUUAGAGCUAGCAUCAAGAUUAAAGCAUUUUACCAUUAACAGUUCAGGACAAAGAUGAGAAAACUUUUUCUGCAAAGAGCCAGAGACCAAAUAUUUUUGAUUUUGUGUGUCAUAUGAUCUCUGUUACAACUAUUCACCUCCAUAUUUGUAGUACAAAAGCAACCAUAGACAAUAUGUAAACAGAUGCUGGUGAUUGUGUUCCAAUAAAACCACAUUUAUAAUAGAAGGCAAUAGGCUAGAUUUGUCCCACAGCCCACUGUUUGCCAACUUCAGGUUUAGAAUCUUUCCUAAAAUCAAGGGGAGUCAUUAAAAUGGAAAAUCCUGCAGAAAUUAUUUCAGGAGAGUUUGCAGAAGCACUCUGGCAACCCAGCUAGGUGAGGGUAUAAAAAUGGGCCCAAGACCUAAGGACUUCCUUUGUUUAUUCUGCCUGAAAUUCUGCUGGUCCAUUUCUCUCUCACUGUCAGAGACUGCAGAGGUAAGUGUGCCCCAUUUCUCUUGGACCUCAGCUAAUGCAGUGUCUGCUCCAGGUGUUUGUGCUGAUGUGAAAAUGCACUGAUGUAUCCUACACAGGCCAUUUACGGUUAAUGUUAGAUUAUAACACUGGUUUUUAACCUUGAGUCUGAAGUUCCUUUCCACUUAUACUCAUAAUCCGAAAGAUCACUGGAAACUCACACUGCCUCAGCAAUUAUAGUGAGCCUCCCCCAUAAUCAUGCAAUGGAACUGAGUUACAGAAAAGUAUUAACAAAACUUUCUAGUCUCUUUUGGAGAAUUCUCACACUGAAUCCCAUGUUAAAUUUUCUUCAACAGGGAGAAAUAUGGACGGUUGAGUGUAUGGCUUUGGUAAACCAUUUUUACCUUCCUGAGCCACAAUUUCUUCAUUCAUAAAAUGGAGAUAAAAAUACCUUCUCUACCUAUUCCAUAAAGUUUUAUCAGACUCAAUGGGUACUUUUAAAAAAAAAAAACAACUUAAUUUUAUAUGUGUCACAAAUAUAAAAAAAAAACUUAAUUUCAUAUGUGUCACCCUUUAUUUAUUUAUUUAUUUAUUUGCCUUUUUAGGGCCUCACCCAUAGCAUAUGGAGGUUUCCAGGCUAGGGGUCCAAUCGGAGCUGCAGCUGCCAGUCUACACCACAGCCACAGCAACGCCAGAUCCGAGCCACGUCUUCGACCUACACCACAGCUCACGGCAACGCCAGAUCCUUAACCCACUGAGCAAAGCCAGGGAUCGAACCCGCAACCUCAUGGUUCCUAGUCAGAUUCAUUUCUGCUGCGCCACAACGGGAAGUCCUUUUUUAUUUUUAUUUAUUUAUUUUUUCACGCACACCCAUUAAAAUCCUUUCCAGUCCAGUUUUAACACUAUUCUUUCAAGUAUCCAGCAUUAGCAAAUCAGACAAAUAUAAAGUUACUUAAAUCCUACAUGCCUAUGCCAAGGAAGGUGAAGAUAAAAUAUCCUAAGACAUAAAGGACAGAAGCAAUGACUACUGCUGGGAAGUGUUAGGUAAGAAUUAUUUAUCAUAAUAGCUUUGAUUGGGCAGAAAGAGCCCUUCAAAUUCUACCUGAAGGCCCUUCAAGAAAAAUUAGGAACUAAUGGUAUUAUUAUAAAAUCAGAGCUGCUGCUCUCCUUCCAAAGUCCCUAGAUUGCAUGAGAAUAGUAUAUACGAUUUCCUGGAGAAGUUCAGAUUUAGCAAUGUUCCCAGAAGACUUUGAAAACAUUUAUUUCAGAACAGUCUAUACUUUCUUCAUACAUGCAUUUACCAAAUGACUAAACACCACAUUUUUGGUGUCAAAAGAGAUCUAUGUCAAUAGCUUUUUCCAAGAUCAUUUAGUUCCUUUUUUCCUCAAUUUUCCCCACGCUACAAACCCUACUUAGUUCUUUGUAAAAUAACAGUUACAAAUAUAUGCUUUCCUUCUUCAUAAGGAUAAAAAAGGAACAAAUGAAAGAAUACCUAUGAAGGUACUUUGAAACUGAAAGAUCCAUACAGCCAAGUCUAGAAAACUUUCUAAAUAACAUUCUGCAAGUUAAACAGGAAGGAUGAUCUCCUUACAAGCAGUAUUUUUUUAUCAAGGUGAUUUCUGUAAUGGAAAAUUAAAUAACUCACCUUUUAUUACUUUUGCUUUUCCUCCCACUUUAGAGUCAGCUGCCUCUGAUUAAACAGUCUCUGCUGUUUAACAGUUUACCUACCAUUUACUCAUAAACUAAUAAAGUAACCAACUUUAAUAAGAAAAACAGGACACCUAUCAUUCUUACAAAGUACAUCAUGUUUAUUCUUCACAGGGAGUAACAGCCAUAAUUUGUAUAUUAAAAAAAAAAAACAGGCAGUAUGUUUGGCUAUUUUCCUAGUUGGGAAAAAAUAAAGCUUUUUCUGUUCAACUUCUUAGGUCCAUAUGAUGGGGAUAGGGGUAGCAUUCCCAGUGGUAAAUCCAGGAUCCCAUUCUUUAGGAGGUGCUUUUGAGUGUCCUGUGCUGUGGAAGUGGAGGAUUAGCCACACAGAUUACUUUGGACAGGUCAGGUGAAGUGUCAAGGCAGACAGCAUUGCUCCUGAAGGAAAGCUGAAGGUCAUGUCUGCAGGGAGCCCUCGUAGACAUAAUGAGGGGGAUAACACAGUACUUCAGCAGCAGCCAUCACUCAAACUGCAAUGGAAAGUCUGCCAGUGAUGCUCACACUCUGCAGCCUCAUGCCUCUGGCCAUGGAAGCUCUUGCUCUGGCAGAGAAAGGGUGCUGGGUCAAGUUGACCCUUCUCCUCCAAUGGGGACUCUCCAAGCAUGGAGACUCCGAAGUGGGCCUCCUCCCUUCGCUCUGUGGCUUCCCCCCGCCCUGUUUUCCCUCCACCCCAAGGGUAGGAGCUUCUGACUGGCCAUCUAUCCUCUUCAUUUCCAUCAAGGAUGUGUUAACUUUAGGCACUGCUCCUUUUGGGCUUUCCCUUCGGAUUUCUGAAAUGCUUUUCUCCUCUGUAAGAGCCUGAGUCUUACACAUCAAAAGCUUCACCUUUCACAAAUGUUUCUCUGAAUUAGACGGCAAGAGCCAAAUUUGGAAGACAAAAAUUAAACAUUUUCUCUUUCAUAAUAAUCCAACCAUCCUUCACAUAAUGGGCAUCUCAGUGGAACUAGGAAAAGGUGGUUUGAGGACACUGCCGUAUUCCAAUUACUAUCCCUUUGCAUUAGUCAGUGCUUUCUGGGGUCCUUUCCAACAAGCAGGAGGUUCAAACUGAGGUGAUACUCGUCUGAUUUUCAUCUCUUCUCUUCAAGAACUUGCUCACAGACUAAGUUACUUCUUCCCAUUCAUAAGGGGACCAGGGAGAGCCAGGCCUAGCUGGCAUAGAGCCCUAUUUCUAUUAUACAAUACAUCACAUUAAGCAAUAUAUUUUUGUGAGAUUCUAUUUUAAGGGUUUUUUUUUUUUUUGAAAUCAUGUCAAGGCACUUCUUGGAAGCCCUAAUAAAACACAGGCUAUAUAUGUAUCUCUUAUUGAACUAAUAAGAAAGCAUAAUUCCAAAGUAUACUCAAAACAAAAAGCUAUAGGUAUAAUCACACACACACACAUGCGCACACAUGCACACACACACAUACACCCUCCAAAGAAUGCUUCUCAAAGAGUGUUACUUGAGCACUGAAAGAUUUGGGAAACUCUUCAGGAGAACAGCAACACCUUCUCUUUAUUAGACGUAUACUCUGUACUAGUGCUGCACAUAUGAUAACUCAGUUCACUCAAAGCUCUAAAGUAAAUAUCCCCCCAUUUUACUUACAGAAAGAUUAGAUGACUUGCCCAAUUUCAUACAGCCAGUAAAUGAGGGAGUCAGAAUUCAAGCCCUAGUUUACCCAACACAAACAUAUGUACAACAGAAUCAACUACAGAGCUAGUAACAAUACCGACGCCUACACACCUCCAGGGACUGCCAUCAACUAAAUCCUGGGAUGCAGGUCACUGUGCAAGUUAGCCCUGACUCAGGUUCUAGAUCAUUUCAGUUUAGAAUUAUGAGCACUGCUCCUGGUAGUUUUGUGAUCCGGAGACAUUAACUUAACUUCCCUGAGCUUGAGUUUCAUCGUCUUUAAAAUAGAAGGAGAGAGCCCUACAGUGUCUUCCCCAUUAGGUCAUUCUGAGGACUAAGUGAGUUAGCAGAUGUAAGCUACUUAGAAUGAUACCUUGACGUACUGAACGCAGUUAUUAUUAUUACUGGCCUGAUGCUCUAUUACUCAGUGUAUCACAUUACACAGUGUAUUUGUGUAAGAUACCAUUCUAGAUCCGAGGAUGACUGUGCUGCACUCUUCUUCUGACUUUGAAGAAUCCACAGGGGUAAACAUCUAAUCACACACAACAAUUUCAGGACAGUCUCACCUUUUUGCAAUGCAAAUUUACUAUUAAGAAAUCAUAUUAACUAGCCACAAGACAAUUGAAGAAUGCAUUUUUCAGCUAUGC